AUUGAACGCUGGCGGCAGGCUUAACACAUGCAAGUCGAACGAGUGGCGGACGGGUGAGUAAUGCUUGGGAAUCUAGCUUAUGGAGGGGGAUAACUACGGGAAACUGUAGCUAAUACCGCAUACCAUCAGAUGUGCCCAGAUGGGAUUGGCUAGUAGGUGGGGUAAUGGCUUCCCUAGGAGACGAUCCCUAGCUGGUCUGAGAGGAUGACCAGCCACACUGGAACUGAGACACGGUCAAGACACCUACGGGAGGCAGCAGUGGGGAAUAUUGAACAAUGGGCGCAAGCCUGAUGGGGCCAUGCCGCGUGUGUGAAGAAGGCAUUCGGGUUGUAAGGCACUUUCAGCGGGGAGGCGUUACUCGCAGAUGAAGCACCGGCUAACUCCGUGCCAGCAGCCGCGGUAAUAC
rnacentral:rRNA from 1 species